rnacentral:rRNA from 1 species
CAACUUUCAGCAAUGGAUCUCUUGGCUCUCGCAUCGAUGAAGAACGCAGCGAAACGCGAUAUGUAAUGUGAAUUGCAGAUCUACAGUGAAUCAUCGAAUCUUUGAACGCACCUUGCGCUCCUUGGUAUUCCGAGGAGCA